rnacentral:rRNA from 1 species
CCUACGGGAGGCAGCAGUGAGGAAUUUUGGACAAUGGGCGAAAGCCUGAUCCAGCAACGCCGCGUGGGUGACGAAGGCCUUCGGGUUGUAAAGCCCUUUCGGGAGGAACGAGAAAGGACGGUACCUCCAGAAGAAGCACCGGCUAACUCCGUGCCAGCAGCCGCGGUAAUACGGAGGGUGCGAGCGUUGUUCGGAAUUAUUGGGCGUAAAGCGCGUGUAGGCGGUUUGUUAAGUCUGAUGUGAAAGCCCCGGGCUCAACCGGGGAAGUGCAUUGGAUACUGGCAGACUUGAGUACGGGAGAGGAGAGUGAAAUUCCCAGUGUAGGAGUGAAAUCCGUAGAUAUUGGGAGGAACACCGGUGGCGAGGGCGGCUCUCUGGACCGAUACUGACGCUGAGCCGCGAAAGCGGGGGGAGCAAACAGGAUUAGAUCCCCCUGUAGU